rnacentral:lncRNA from 1 species
UGGGGCAACAGUUAGAGUUCAUUUUGUGGUGUCGUUUUGGGUUGUUUUGUGAGAUUGCCAUUUCUUGUGUACCUUGCGUAUUUGAGAGUAGUAGUUCUAGUUAAGAGCUUAAUAGAGGAAGCAUCAUGGUGAUUGAAAGUGUAAAGUGAGCUACAGACAAAGAGGACAGUGGCCGAAAUGUGAGAGCUAAAUGUACAUAAAAACCACCUUUUGUGAUAAUCGUUACUAAUAUAGAGUUGGUGUCGUGAUGUAAUAUGACUAGUAGGUGAAAGAGUGAAAAAAUAUAUCAUGUUUUGAGGAUCUCACUUCAAAAAUAUUGUAGCAAAUUAUCUUGGAAAAAUAGAUAUUAGUAAAAGGGUAGAAAAAUUAAAGGUGCUAAUGCUGCCUUUUUACAAAUUAUGCUUCUAUUUACUUUGUAAGGCCAUAAAUAAGGCAAAACAAGGUAUAUUAGAAAAAUAAAGGAUAUAGACAUAUGUAGGGAGGAGUUAGGAGUGCAAAUUAGUAAAAAUUAUCUCAAGAAGAUGAAAGUUGAUACUCGGAGAGGACCGGUUAUGAACCAGGGUCAAUCUAACAGGUUUAGAGUUUGAUUAGGAUUUAAUUUAGGGUUUGGAUUAGGGUUUGGUUAGGAUUUGAUUUAAGGUUUGGAUUAAGGUUUGGAUUAGGGUUUAGGAUUUAGUUAGGAUUUGAUUUAGGAUUUGGAUUAGGAUUUGGAUUAGGAUUUAGGAUUUGAUUAGGGUUUGGAUUAGGAUUUGGAUUAGGAUUUGGUUAGGAUUUGAUUUAAGGUUUGGUUUAGGAUUUAGGAUUUGGAUUAGGAUUUAGGGUUGAUUUAGGGUUUGAUUUAGGAUUUAGGAUUUGAAAUAGGGUUUGAUUUAGGGUUUAAUUUGAAGUUUGUUUAGAAUUUAUUAGGGUUUAAGAUUUAAUUAGAUUUGGUCUAAAGUUUGAGUGAAAUUCAAUAGGAUUUUAACUAGAAUUAAAUUAAGGUUGAAUUGACAUAUAUUUGAGUAAUAUUUGUGAUCAUUCUAAUAUUUCUUUAAGAAUUUUAUUAUUUGUUUGGAAUUUCUUUGAGUUGUUUUGAAUUUGAUUACGUUUUUUUACCAUUAUU